CGCUGGCGGCAGGCCUAACACAUGCAAGUCGAGCGGUAGAGAGAAGCUUGCUUCUCUUGAGAGCGGCGGACGGGUGAGUAAUGCCUAGGAAUCUGCCUGGUAGUGGGGGAUAACGUUCGGAAACGGACGCUAAUACCGCAUACGUCCUACGGGAGAAAGCAGGGGACCUUCGGGCCUUGCGCUAUCAGAUGAGCCUAGGUCGGAUUAGCUAGUUGGUGAGGUAAUGGCUCACCAAGGCGACGAUCCGUAACUGGUCUGAGAGGAUGAUCAGUCACACUGGAACUGAGACACGGUCCAGACUCCUACGGGAGGCAGCAGUGGGGAAUAUUGGACAAUGGGCGAAAGCCUGAUCCAGCCAUGCCGCGUGUGUGAAGAAGGUCUUCGGAUUGUAAAGCACUUUAAGUUGGGAGGAAGGGUUGUAGAUUAAUACUCUGCAAUUUUGACGUUACCGACAGAAUAAGCACCGGCUAACUCUGUGCCAGCAGCCGCGGUAAUACAGAGGGUGCAAGCGUUAAUCGGAAUUACUGGGCGUAAAGCGCGCGUAGGUGGUUUGUUAAGUUGGAUGUGAAAUCCCCGGGCUCAACCUGGGAACUGCAUUCAAAACUGACUGACUAGAGUAUGGUAGAGGGUGGUGGAAUUUCCUGUGUAGCGGUGAGAUGCGUAGAUAUAGGAAGGAACACCAGCGGCGAAGGCGACCACCUGGACUAAUACUGACACUGAGGUGCGAAAGCGUGGGGAGCA
rnacentral:rRNA from 1 species